rnacentral:rRNA from 1 species
UAGGGAAUCUUCGGCAAUGGGGGGAACCCUGACCGAGCAACGCCGCGUGAGUGAAGAAGGUUUUCGGAUCGUAAAGCUCUGUUGUUAAGGAAGAACGAGUGUGAGAAUGGAAAGUUCAUGCUGUGACGGUACUUAACCAGAAAGGGACGGCUAACUACGUGCCAGCAGCCGCGGUAAUACGUAGGUCCCGAGCGUUGUCCGGAAUUAUUGGGCGUAAAGCGAGCGCAGGCGGUUAGAAAAGUCUGAAGUGAAAGGCAGUGGCUCAACCAUUGUAGGCUUUGGAAACUGUUUAACUUGAGUGCAGAAGGGGAGAGUGGAAUUCCAUGUGUAGCGGUGAAAUGCGUAGAUAUAUGGAGGAACACCAGUGGCGAAGGCGACUCUCUGGUCUGUAACUGACGCUGAGGCUCGAAAGCGUGGGUAGCAAACAGG